ensembl:lncRNA
GCCAAAUGGGUGUUGAGCUGCAGGGGUCACGGGGAUGAGUUACGCUGCGAGAACAGGACGAUUCGCACGGCGGUGGAACUCGGUCGAGGAAUGAAGACAGUCGGGCGGUUUGAAACACCCCCCAAAGUGGGAUCGAGGUUGUCGUUCUGAUUCUUCACAGUUCACUUUGUGCGCACGGCCCUUGUCAUAAUGCGCUAGGAGAGCAUGAGAGCCCGUCAGGCAGAUGGAUUUAAUGCCAACAAAUACUCAAAACAAGUUUGACACAAUAGAGACAUCAAAGCAUCUAUCUGAAAGGGACAACAGAAGAACUCCAACUAACCGUUUUAGUCUUUCUGUGGAAGUUGUUGAUGAAGGGAUUGAUUACAACAAACCUACGCACGAAUGGAGAAAAAGUAUUUUGUGACGAUGAUGGGCGUAGAGACGUCAUCCGGUGUUCACUUUUGGCUGCUCCGUGUGUGCGCUCACUCCCAUUGGCAGAUUGAGGCCCUGCGGCUGCUUCCCUGGAAGAGCGGCCCAACAAUACAGGAAGCCGGCGCUUAUCUGAAGGGCAUUGGGAGGAGGACACAGCGGACAAGUCAAGAACUGUGCAGGACGUAUCAAAAGAUGUAUUCACAUGUCAGUCUUUGUUCAAUUAUAAAUCUAAAGCGGGGAAAACUCUCUUUGUGCAGUAAAGGACGGAAUGUGGGAAACUGAAAGCGAGGCAGCAGUGUUGGCUCCUGAGGAUGUUUGGAGUUCACACGGACUGACAUUUACUGAUAUGUGUGUUUGGUUUUCCUGGUGAUGACAUGUAAACCAGAGUGCAGCUGAAUGAAAUGUCAAAAGUUCAGUGUAUUGUCAAUGGCAGUUUUCUAUUCAUUUGGUGUUGAGAUUUAUUAUUAAUUAUUAUUACAGUAUACGUCUUUGGGGCAAGUAUGACAUCACGUUGAUAUAAUAUUCAUGUAUUUAUAUAUAAUAUUCUUUUUCUCCUAAUUUAUUUUGUAGAUGAGUCUUGUAAACAUCAGCCAAAAUAUUCUGUGGAUGUUAGUCUCACCAAAGAAAUGUACAAAUGUUAAAGGGGAAAACAGUUUUCCCACUAGGGAAAUCACAGACAAAAUUGUAAGUGGGAAAGUCUGCUUAGCUUUGUUUAUGACUAUCUGUUGUCCAACUCAUGCAUUUCGUACACAGGUCAAUUUUAAACUCAACAAAUAUGUCUCAAGAGGCUUCACUCCCCCACAAAAUAACCUUUGCGAUGGCGAAGAGAAUGAAGAAACUGAAAUACACAAAGUGCGUACAGACUAGACCAAACAAAAAACACCACGGCAAUAUGAUAGAGAUGACGUAAAUCUAACCAAUGCACC